AAUGAACGUUGGCGGCAUGGACUAGGCAUGCAAGUCGAGCGAUAAGGGUUUUGAAGCUUGCUUUGAAACCCGGAAAGCGGCGCAAGGGAGAGUAACGAGUAGUUAUCUACCCCAAGGCCCGGAAUAGCUGCGGGAAACUGCAGGUAAUGCCGGAUAAUAUCCCCGGAUCAAAGGUGUGAUUCCGCCUUGGGAGGAGACUGCUUUGUACUAGCUAGUUGGUAGGGUAAUGGCCUACCAAGGCUACGACGCAUAGCGGGCGUGAGAGCGUGGCCCGUCUCACUGGGACUGAAACACUGCCCAGACACCUACGGGUGGCUGCAGUCGAGAAUCUUCGGCAAUGGGCGAAAGCCUGACCGAGCGAUGCCGCGUGCGGGAUGAAGGCCCUCGGGUUGUAAACCGCUGUCGUAGAGGAGAAAGGUCUGAUGAAGAAUCAGAUUUGAUCUAUUCUAGGAGGAAGUCCGGGCUAAGUUCGUGC
rnacentral:rRNA from 1 species